rnacentral:rRNA from 1 species
UGAACGCCGGCGGUGUGCCUAAUACAUGCAAGUCGUACGCACUGGCCCAACUGAUUAAUGGUGCUUGCACCUGAUUGACGAUGGAUCACCAGUGAGUGGCGGACGGGUGAGUAACACGUAGGUAACCUGCCCCGGAGCGGGGGAUAACAUUUGGAAACAGAUGCUAAUACCGCAUAACAACAAAAGCCACAUGGCUUUUGUUUGAAAGAUGGCUUUGGCUAUCACUUUGAGAUGGCCUCGCGUCCGAUUAGCUGGUUGGUGAGGUAACGGCCCACCAAGGCGACGAUCGGUAGCCGGACUGAGAGGUUGAACGGCCACAUUGGGACUGAGACACGGCCCAGACUCCUACGGGAGGCAGCAGUGGGGAAUAUUGCACAAUGGGGGAAACCCUGAUGCAGCGACGCCGCGUGGAGGAAGAAGGUCUUCGGAUUGUAAACUCCUGUCGUUAGGGACGAUAAUGACGGUACCUAACAAGAAAGCACCGGCUAACUACGUG